GAGCAAUUAUGUUGGCAGCACAAAUACUAAAAUUGGUAUGAUAGAAGAAUAGUAUGGCCCCUGUUCAAGGAUGACACAUAAACUCACGAAACAUUCUAUAUUUUC